UUCAGGUAUCUAUGAAUGAUAUGGAUUUUAAUAUAUUAUGGAUGGGAAACCAUCCUAAGCCAGAUAUUUUGCGGAAUUUACUGCCUUAUCAAAAAGUGAAUCAUUUUCCUAGGUCUUAUGAAAUUACCCGUAAGGAUCGUCUUUACAAAAAUAUUGAAGCUAUGCAGAGGAGUAAAGGCCUUCGAAAUCUUGAUUUCAUACCUCAGACAUUCCUACUGCCUACUGAAGCCAAAGAAUUGAUUUCAGCGCACUUUAGAUAUAGAGGACCAUGGAUUGUUAAGCCUAAAGCCAGUUCACGAGGUCGUGGUAUUUACAUUGUUAAUAAUGUAAGAAUACAUAUACAAUAAUUUUUAUGUGCACUAUUA